rnacentral:tRNA from 1 species
GGGGCCUUAGCUCAGCUGGUAGAGCGCCGCCUUUGCAAGGCGGAUGUCAGGAGUUCGAAUCUCCUAGGCUCCA